UGGGUAUUACAGUUGGUUGCUUGAAUUUAUUCAAGAGGAAAGUCCGGGCUCCAUAGAGCAAGAGGGUAGCUAACGGCUACUGAAAGUAAUUUUAAGGAAAGUGCCACAGAAAAUAAACCGCCGUAAGGUAAGGGUGAAAAGGUGGUGUAAGAGACCACCAGUUUUUUAGGAGACUGAAAAAGCUUGGUAAACCCCCUUUGGAGCAAGACUAAGAAGUAAAGGUUAAGGGCUGCUCGUCCAUCUUUCGAGGUAAGUCGCUAGAUCUUUUAAGCAAUUGAAAGAGUAGAUAAAUUAUCAACAAAAACAAAACCCGGCUUAUGUAAUGCCCGCCAA
rnacentral:RNase_P_RNA from 3 species